rnacentral:rRNA from 1 species
GACGAACGCUGGCGGCGUGCCUAACACAUGCAAGUCGAACGGAGAAUUUCAAUAAGUUUACUUAGCGAAAUUUUUAGUGGCGGACGGGUGAGUAACGCGUGGGUAACCUACCCAUAAAGCCGGGACAACCCUUGGAAACGAGGGCUAAUACCGGAUAAUCUUGAGAAGUGGCAUCACUUUUUAAGGAAAGUUGGCCUCUGAAAAUGCUACCGAUCAUGGAUGGACCCGCGUCUGAUUAGCUAGUUGGUGGGGUAAAGGCCUACCAAGGCGACGAUCAGUAGCCGGACUGAGAGGGUGAACGGCCACACUGGGACUGAGACACGGCCCAGACUCCUACGGGUGGCAGCAGUGGGGAAUCUUCCGCAAUGGACGAAAGUCUGACGGAGCAACGCCGCGUGUAUGAUGAAGGUCUUCGGAUUGUAAAGUACUGUCUUUGGGGAAGAAUGGUCAUUUUGAGAAUAUUGAGAUGACAUGACGGUACCCAAGGAGGAAGCCCCGGCUAACUACGUGCCAGCAGCCGCCGUAA